rnacentral:miRNA from 1 species
AGCUGUUUUGGGACUACUAUUCCCAUCAUCCCUGACCACUGGUCCUGUUAGCUAGGGAUGAUGGGAGUUGUAGUCCCAAAACAGCU